rnacentral:rRNA from 1 species
AUUGAACGCUGGCGGCAUGCUUUACACAUGCAAGUCGAACGGCAGCGCGGGCUUCGGCCUGGCGGCGAGUGGCGAACGGGUGAGUAAUGCAUCGGAACGUGCCCAGUAGUGGGGGAUAGCCCGGCGAAAGCCGGAUUAAUACCGCAUACGACCUGAGGGUGAAAGCGGGGGACCGAAAGGCCUCGCGCUAUUGGAGCGGCCGAUGUCAGAUUAGCUAGUUGGUGGGGUAAAGGCUUACCAAGGCGACGAUCCGUAGCUGGUCUGAGAGGACGACCAGCCACACUGGGACUGAGACACGGCCCAGACUCCUACGGGAGGCAGCAGUGGGGAAUUUUGGACAAUGGGGGCAACCCUGAUCCAGCCAUGCCGCGUGCGGGAAGAAGGCCUUCGGGUUGUAAACCGCUUUUGUUCGGGAAGAAAUCCUCUGGGCUAAUACCCCGGGGGGAUGACGGUACCGGAAGAAUAAGCACCGGCUAACUACGUG